rnacentral:lncRNA from 1 species
AAAGGGCAUGAAGUUGGAAGGGAGAAGGGGGUACUAGAGGAAGUCAGAGCAGUGGUGGAGUGGAUAUGAAAAAGGAGCAAACAUUGAAACGCCAUGCCCUUGCAGUCCUGACUCCGGUCUGAAGUUUCAAAUGAGCAGUGAAGUGCAGCUGUGUUACUGUUUCUGUCCUGUUGUAAAACCAGAGCAUCCCCUGCUCCAAGACCCGAGAAGGCAGAUGUGGACAUGAAGGUAACUGAGGAGGUACAGCAGGCGCCGUAACCACAUCCAGCUCUCCUCAGGAAUAAGCCACGCCACGGCACUCAUUCCUGCGCAUGCGCUUUGAAGACUAGCACCGGCGCCCCGGGAUUUAAAUGGCCGCCACGUGCUCAAUCCACUCUGUACCUCCGAGGAAAUCCUUGAAUGAUGCUGGAUGUAUCAUACUAAGUCUACCCACCCGACACCAGAGAUCACGUUCAGAAAUGGUGAGCUAGUACCUCAAACCCUCCUCUGCAGAAGGAGCAAGGCAGCCUGUGUCUUUCCUGAAACCAAGGAACACCAAUGCUGGCACCAACCCAACUCCCCACACCCCCGAAUUCUAUAAAUCCAAGCAGAUAGGAAGAAAAUAUUUGUAUUUUACUACUAACAUUUAGAGACCCAUUUGAUACACUCUUUGUGGCAUUUUUAAGACAUACUAUCGACUUCUAGUGAGCUGAGAAACUUCCUUAGACUAUCUUUAAAAUGGAUUGCCAGGUCUCUGACUAAAAGUUUGACCUCUGAACCAUGGGGUUCAGUGUUUAGCAAGAAAACUUUGUAGGCUGCCUGGCUAGUGUGGGACCCAAAGCUCUCAAGACCCGAUUUACAUGUCACAAUGACCUAGUGAUGUAAUUACUGUUACUUUCCCAUCCUGUAGGUGCAAAAACCUGAAAGGUGGGGAGGUUAAGUCAUUUGCCUAGAGUCCCUUCUGUGGCUGAUUAAAACAACACGGCACAGCAGGAAAAACAGGAAGCUGGUUUCCAGAAACGCCAGAACAACAGCCCCUCUGUUCCCAGCUCCUGGCAGGAGGCAGCCGCAGCCUGUGAAGGGGCCCUUGCCUGGAAGCAGCCAGCCUCCGGGCUGUUCAGGGCAGGCCACAGGCAGUCCUGAGUCAGGAAGGUUGCCUGUUUCUCUAAAGCAGCCACCUAGUUCCCCUGCUCAGCCCCAGGCUACAGAAGGCAAGAAGCAACAAGGCCACUGGGUAGGUGUCCAUUUAUGGCCUCAGUCCCACACCUGGAAGCUGGGUCUGCGUUUUCUCAUCUCGCAUGCAGAGAACAGAGAGUUCAAGGGAUGUGUACCUAGGACUUCACGGGGGCAGGGUCCUGGACCUGGCUUGUCUGCUUUCAAAGUCCCUGGUUUGGUGUGGUUUUCACUAUGGAAUGCUGUGAGAUUUCUUGAAAUUGGCCAAAAAGGGUAUCUUGAUUUUUAUUUGGCUAACAAAAUAAACAGAGAAAC